AUUGAACGCUGGCGGCAUGCCUUACACAUGCAAGUCGAACGGCAGCACGGACUUCGGUCUGGUGGCGAGUGGCGAACGGGUGAGUAAUACAUCGGAACGUGCCCAGUCGUGGGGGAUAACGUAGCGAAAGCUACGCUAAUACCGCAUACGAUCUAAGGAUGAAAGCGGGGGACCGUAAGGCCUCGCGCGAUUGGAGCGGCCGAUGGCAGAUUAGGUAGUUGGUGGGGUAAAGGCUCACCAAGCCGACGAUCUGUAGCUGGUCUGAGAGGACGACCAGCCACACUGGGACUGAGACACGGCCCAGACUCCUACGGGAGGCAGCAGUGGGGAAUUUUGGACAAUGGGCGCAAGCCUGAUCCAGCCAUUCCGCGUGCAGGAUGAAGGCCCUCGGGUUGUAAACUGCUUUUGUACGGAACGAAAAGGCUCUGGUUAAUACCUGGGGCUCAUGACGGUACCGUAAGAAUAAGCACCGGCUAACUACGUGCCAGCAGCAGCCGCGG
rnacentral:rRNA from 1 species